rnacentral:rRNA from 1 species
GACGAACGCUGGCGGCGUGCCUAAUACAUGCAAGUAGAACGCUGAAGAGAGGAGCUUACUCUUCUUGGAUGAGUUGCGAACGGGUGAGUAACGCGUAGGUAACCUGCCUUGUAGCGGGGGAUAACUAUUGGAAACGAUAGCUAAUACCGCAUAACAAUGGAUGACACAUGUCAUUUAUUUGAAAGGGGCAAUUGCUCCACUACAAGAUGGACCUGCGUUGUAUUAGCUAGUAGGUGAGGUAAUGGCUCACCUAGGCGACGAUACAUAGCCGACCUGAGAGGGUGAGCGGCCACACUGGGACGGUGACACGGCCCAGACGCCUACGGGAGGCAGCCGUAGGGAAUCUUCGGCAAUGGGGGCAACCCUGACCGAGCAACGCCGCGUGAGUGAAGAAGGUUUUCGGGUCGUAAAGCUCUGUUGUAAGUCAAGAACGGGUGUGAGAGUGGAAAGUUCACACUGUGACGGUAGCUUACCAGAAAGGGACGGCUAACUACGUG